UAAUAAUUACUAAAAACAAAGAGAACAUAAUUGUUAGUUAUUAUUGGAUUGGGUAGAAAAAUAGGAUAUCUUUUAUAUGGAUUAAAACACACAACUGAAAUAAGAAAGAGAUUAACCUAUAAAGGCAUCAUAUAAUUUGAUGGUAAAAAUGAACAUCAAGUAGUGAACCAAGUCAAUAAUAGCUGAUACAGAAACAAGCUGUGACGAUUGAUAAAUAGUUGUUUAGCGAUUCAAGUUCAACAUUUAAAACACAUGCGAAAAACUCCAUUCUAUGGGGGAAACAUAUCUUUACAGCCAAUUCUUCAGCCACCAACCCUCCAAUGGCAAGGAUACCGUUAAAUAAAACGAUGCUUAUAUUAGGUAGGCAAACAGUUGGAAUGUUUACGGUUUGAGAACUAAUUGAGAGAUGUGAGAGCUUUCAUGCCUUGUACGCCCUUUAAAAACUUACAACCACGUGACUUGCCUUGGCUGUACAUACGAAAAUGAAUUAUAUUUUUACAUAAGAGAUUUAAAAGAGCGUGUCUUUUUGCAGAUUUUAAAAAGGACAUAAAGAGUAACGUUGUCGCAAAAAAAGUAUUCUACUUUACGCUAUAUUUUGACACAAAGCUCAUAAUUGUGUAUUCAAAGUUUUACCAACAUUACUUAGCACGCGAUUGGACAUAACAAAGAGUAUUCUGAGCAGUGGUUGUUAAGAAGCUUAGCUGCUAAUUUUUAAUGAAAUAAAUACAUAAAAAAAUAGUUGCUUUAAUUACAUAUGGCUUUGUAAUUAAAAAAAAUAU